rfam:Clostridium ventriculi strain 2789STDY5834858 genome assembly, contig: SCcontig000006
AACUAAGAUAGAGGUGCAAAAUUUAAGAGUACUGUUAUGGAGGUAAGCUCAAUGAAGUAAUAGAAAAGGAAAUUUUGCCGAAGUUAAUAGUGGAAGCUUUAAAGCUAUUAGCUGGUUUUGUAUAAAAUAUAUACACGACUGUCACAUUUUUUUGUGGAGAGCUAUUAUUCAA